rnacentral:lncRNA from 1 species
UAUUUUUAUAUAUUGCUAAAUUUAUUUUUUAAUAUUUUCCUAAAGAUUUUUGUAUCUAUAUUCACAAGAGUUAUUGGUCUGUAGUUUUCCUUUAUGGGGAAGCAGGGCAUGAACCCAGGGGCACUUUCCCACUUAAAAACUACAUUCCCAAUCCUUUUUCUUUGAGACAGGGUGUCACUAAACUGCCCAGGCUGCUUCAAACUUGCCAUCCUCCUGCUUCAGCCUCCUGAGUGGCAGGGAUUGCAGGUGAGCGCCACCCCACACACUGUAGUUUUCCAGCUUUAUGCUGUCUUUUUCUGGUUUUAUUAUCAAGGUGAAACUAGUUUGUAAAAUUAAUUAGAAAGUACUCUCCUUUUUCCUAGAAGAAAUUGUGUAAAAUUCUAUUAGUUCUUCUUACUCAUUUACUAGAAUCCUAUAGUGAAAUCAUCUCAAUCUGGAGACUUCUUUUUUGGAAGUUUUAAAAUUACAAAUUCAGUUACCUUAAUAGUUAUGGGACUAUUUGAAUUAUUCAUUUCAUCUCAGGUGAGUUGUGAUAAUUUAUGCUUUUUGACUAUUUAGAUCUAUAGUGUAUGUAAUGAUCCUCUGUUUCAUUUCAGAUAUUGGUAAUUACUGUCUUCUCUCUUUUUUUUCAGUCUUUCUAGAAAUUUAUUAAUUUUAUUGAUCUUUCCCAAAAAUCUUUGUUUGAUUUUCUUUCCU